GACGAACGCUGGCGGCGUGCUUAACACAUGCAAGUCGAACGGAAAGGCCCUGCUUUUGUGGGGUGCUCGAGUGGCGAACGGGUGAGUAACACGUGAGUAACCUGCCCUUGACUUUGGGAUAACUUCAGGAAACUGGGGCUAAUACCGGAUAGGAGCUCCUGCUGCAUGGUGGGGGUUGGAAAGUUUCGGCGGUUGGGGAUGGACUCGCGGCUUAUCAGCUUGUUGGUGGGGUAGUGGCUUACCAAGGCUUUGACGGGUAGCCGGCCUGAGAGGGUGACCGGCCACAUUGGGACUGAGAUACGGCCCAGACUCGUACGGGAGGCAGAAGUGGGGAAUAUUGCACAAUGGGCGGAAGCCUGAUGCAGCAACGCCGCGUGCGGGAUGACGGCCUUCGGGUUGUAAACCGCUUUCGCCUGUGACGAAGCGUGAGUGACGGUAAUGGGUAAAGAAGCACCGGCUAACUACGUG
rnacentral:rRNA from 1 species